rnacentral:rRNA from 1 species
AUUGAACGCUGGCGGCAUGCCUUACACAUGCAAGUCGAACGGCAGCACGGGAGCAAUCCUGGUGGCGAGUGGCGAACGGGUGAGUAAAGUAUCGGAACGUGCCCAGUCGUGGGGGAUAACGUAGCGAAAGUUACGCUAAUACCGCAUACGAUCUAUGGAUGAAAGCGGGGGAUCGCAAGACCUCGCGCGAUUGGAGCGGCCGAUAUCAGAUUAGGGAGUUGGUGGGGUAAAGGCUCACCAAGCCGACGAUCUGUAGCUGGUCUGAGAGGACGACCAGCCACACUGGGACUGAGACACGGCCCAGACUCCUACGGGAGGCAGCAGUGGGGAAUUUUGGACAAUGGGCGAAAGCCUGAUCCAGCCAUGCCGCGUGCAGGAUGAAGGCCUUCGGGUUGUAAACUGCUUUUGUACGGAACGAAAAGGUUUGGCCUAAUAAGCUGAGCUCAUGACGGUACCGUAAGAAUAAGCACCGGCUAACUACGUGCCAGCAGCCGCAGUAA